UACAGGGGGUGCAAACGUUGCUCGGAAUCAUUGGGCGUAAAGCGCACGUAGGCGGUCCGUUAUGUCGGAUGUGAAAGCCCUUGGCUCAACUGAGGAAGUGCAUCCGAAACUGGCAGGCUAGAGUACUAAAGAGGGUCGCGGAAUUCCCGGUGUAGAGGUGAAAUUCGUAGAUAUCGGGAGGAACACCGGUGGCGAAGGCGGCGACCUGGGUAGAUACUGACGCUGAGGUGCGAAAGCGUGGGGAGCAAACAGG
rnacentral:rRNA from 1 species